rnacentral:lncRNA from 1 species
AUAUGAUGCCUGAUUCUAGGCACUGCUUCAAAAACAGGAAAAACUAAUGUACAUAAAUAGAAAUCAUAUCACUGGUUACCUCUGGGGAGGUUGCCUGGGGGAGGGGAGAGAGGCAUACCUUCUAGGGGAUGGAAAUGUUGUUCUACAUGUCCUGAGUGGUAGCUACACAAGUUUACACAUACUUAAAAAUGCAACAAUGGGGGCUGGGUUGUGGUUUACCUGGUAUGUGUGAGGCAGCACUAGGUUCGAUUCUGAGCACUGCAGAUAAAUAAAUGAAUAAAAUAAAGGUCCAUCAAUAUCUAGAAAAUUUAAAAAAAAUGCAUCAGUAGGGCUGGGGAUGUGGCUCAGUGGUAAAGCGCUUGCCUAGCAUGUGAGAGGCACUGGGUUUGAUUCUCAGCAACAUAAAUAAAUAAAUAAAUAAAUAAAUAAAUAAAUGCAUCAGUGGGGGCUGCGAUGUAGUUUGGUGGUAGAGUGCUUGCCUAGCAUAUGCAAGACCCUGAAUUAAAUCUCCAGUAAGGCAAAAAACAAAAACAAACAAACAAACAAAAAUCAAUGGGAAGGGUUCAGGGGCACACACCUGUAAUCCCAGUAAUUUGGGAGGUUAAGGCAGGAGGAUCACAAAUUUAAGGUCAGCCUCAGCAAUUUAGUGAAUGUCUCAAAGAUGGGAGUUGCUGGGGAUGUAGCUCAAAGGUUCAAUCCCUAUUAUGGGGGGUGGCAAGGGGAGAAAAGAAAGAAAAAGACAAGGGUUCAAACAUUUACGAUAGAUUUGGUUGUGAUCACAUGCAAAUGGCUAAGGAAAGAUCUGACUACAAAGCCUGUGCUUCCAAACCAAAAUUUAGGAAGUUAUUGAAACACUUUUCAGGUGAGAUUUUUAUUACUGUACUUGGUAGCCCUGUGGUGUUUCACAACAUUCAGAACUUACGAAGUGUUCUAAAUCACACUCCAACUGUAAUUAAGCCAGCUCCACAUUGUGCAGCUAAAAGAGUGAGUGAUGAUGAGUUCAAAAAUUAAUGGUGCCUGCAACUCACCUUGACCCCUGUGGCUUCAUAUCUACUUCUUGCAGGAAGAGCAUUGGGAGUGUGGGGCCUGGCUUCCAAAUGCAAUUGUCAUCCCUGUCUUUGCUGGACCUUGAAGGGCAUGAAAACAAUCCAGCUUCCUGGCUGGGUGAUUCCCUGUCACCUGUCAACAGCUUUUAAAAAAUCUAGGCAAAGAAGGACUCAACAUCAUGCCUAUGUUAUUCUGACCAAAAGCUCACAUUUGAAGCUAAUGAACAAACCUCAAAUGAAGGCCACCUAACAGCUGUCCUGUCCCAUACAGUAGCUACUAGCCACAUGUAACUAUUUUGGCUGAAAUUAAAUAAAAUUUAGAAGUCAAUUCCUGAAUCCCACUAGCCACAUUUCAAAUGUCAAUUCAUCUGGCUAAUGGCUAUCAUGUUGCAUGGCACAGAUGCAGAACAUUCCUAUCAACCUAGAAUGUUACGUUGGACAAUGCUGAUCUACAGAAUAAUUCUUCAAAAACAUCAAGGUCACAAAAGACAUGUUAAGACUGGAAAACAGUUCCAGAGUAAAGGACACCCAAGUGUCGUGACUAUUGAAUGUAAUGUGGGAUCCUACCUUGGAUCUUGAGACAGAAAAAGGACAUUAGUGGGACCAAUGGUGAAAUCUGAAUAAUGUUUUGUUUUUGUUUUGGUACUGGGGAUUGAACCAAGAGGUACACUACCACUGAGAUAUAUCCCUGUCCCUUUAUAUUUUUUAUUUUGAGAUGGGGUCUUACUAAGUUGUUGAAACUGGCCUUGAACUGUGAUCCUCCUGUCUCAGCAUCCUGAGUAGCUAGAAUUACAGGCAUGUAAUCAUUACCACGCAGAGCCUAAACAAUGCUUUUGGCUUAACAAUGUUCUCUCAGUGGUAAUGUUCUGGUUUUGAUCAUUGUCCUGAUUGUGUAAGAUGCAUUUGUAUUAUUUUUGUAAUUGUGUUUGAAGUCU